UACGUAGGGGGCAAGCGUUGUCCGGAAUUACUGGGCGUAAAGGGCGCGUAGGCGGCCUUCUAAGUCGAACGUGAAAUCCCCGGGCUCAACCCGGGAACUGCGUCCGAUACUGGAAGGCUUGAAUCCGGGAGAGGGAUGCGGAAUUCCUGGUGUAGCGGUGAAAUGCGCAGAUAUCAGGAGGAACACCGGUGGCGAAGGCGGGUCUCUGGGCCGAUAUUGACGCUGAGGAGCGAAAGCGUGGGGAGCGAACAGG
rnacentral:rRNA from 1 species